GACGAACGCUGGCGGCGUGCUUAACACAUGCAAGUCGAACGGUGAAGCGCCUUCCUUUUUGGUGGGUGUGGAUGAGUGGCGAACGGGUGAGUAACACGUGAGUAACCUGCCCCCUUCUUCUGGAUAACCGCAUGAAAGUGUGGCUAAUACGUGAUAUUCUGGGUCUGUCGCAUGAUGGGUCUGGGAAAGAUAUUGUUUCGGUGGGGGAUGGGCUCGCGGCCUAUCAGCUUGUUGGUGGGGUGAUGGCCUACCAAGGCGGUGACUGGUAGCCGGCCUGAGAGGGUGGACGGUCUCACUGGGACUGAGACACGGCCCAGACUCCUACGGGAGGCAGCAGUGGGGAAUAUUGCACAAUGGGCGCAAGCCUGAUGCAGCGACGCCGCGUGAGGGAUGGAGGCCUUCGGGUUGUGAACUUCUUUCGCCAGUGAAGCAGGCCUGCCUCGUUUGUGGGUGGGUUGACGGUAGCUGGACAAGAAGCGCCGGCUAACUACGUG
rnacentral:rRNA from 1 species